rnacentral:rRNA from 1 species
AGUGAACGCUGGCGGUAGGCCUAACACAUGCAAGUCGAACGGCCGCACAGUAAGAGCUUGCUCUUACGGGUGGCGAGUGGCGGACGGGUGAGAAAUACAUCGGAAUCUACUUUUUCGUGGGGGAUAACGGAGGGAAACUUACGCUAAUACCGCAUACGACCUACGGGUGAAAGCAGGAGAUCUUCGGGCCUUGCGCGAUUGAAUGAGCCGAUGUCGGAUUAGCUAGUUGGCGGGGUAAAGGCCCACCAAGGCGACGAUCCGUAGCUGGUCUGAGAGGAUGAUCAGCCACACUGGAACUGAGACACGGUCCAGACUCCUACGGGAGGCAGCAGUGGGGAAUAUUGGACAAUGGGCGAAAGCCUGACCCAGCCAUACCGCGUGAGUGAAGAAGGCCUUCGGGUUGUAAAGCCCUUUUGUUGGGAAAGAAAAGCAGCAUGUUAAUCCCCCGCUGUUCUGACGGUACCCAAAGAAUAAGCACCGGCUAACUUCGUG